GGAGAGGUGGCUCAAAGAUUAAGAGCUCUGGCUGUUCUUCCAGAAGUCCUGGGUUCAAUUCCCAGCCACCACA
rfam:Cricetulus griseus cell line CHO-K1, whole genome shotgun sequence.